rnacentral:lncRNA from 1 species
CCAAAAUCCCCGUCGCCGCCGCCCCGCUCCUCACUGCCGCCGCGGCUCCACUGCAUCACCACCGCCAAAAUACCUCGAACCCCCAUCUUAGCUAUUUUUUGGCCCAAAGACACUCGUUUCUUUUGGCGAGAUGAUGAAACUCAUUUCGUUCUAGCAUCUACCUGAAAGAAACGUGCGUUUUGGAGUCGGGCAGUCGCCCUUUAGCAUCUCCGGCAUCUUCUCGUGGUCAAACAGCUUCAAGCAUACUUGUUAGGUAUAAUCGUCAUCUCUUUAAUUAAUUUCUAAUUUUUUAUAUUAGUAGAUUAGUUUCUGAUUUUUGAUUUUUCUGUUUUGGUUGUUUCUUGUUAAUUAGAGUUUCAAGUUAGGUUUAUUUAAUUAGUUAUCUCUGUUUAGUUUAGUGGUUUGUUAGAUUUGUUAUUGAUUUAAACAUGAUCUUUAAUGUAUUAGUUAAAUCGUUCACUUAAUUAGUCGAUUAUUUAGUUGUUGUUAGUUGUUGUCCGAUUGUUAACGAUGCUCAUUCUGUUUUGAGCAUUAGUUUGUGAAUUUAGUUAUUUGUUUAGUAAUUAGUUUGCACAAAUCGAAUUCAUUCCCAUCAAGUUGGUUUGAAUACUUAGUUCAAUUACGUUUUUAGUCUCGUCUAUGCUUUGUCAGUUCAUAGUUGUCCAAGUUUGAUUUGUGUUGAGCAAGUAGUUUAUUGUUGAUGGUUAAAAUCUGAAAUUUAGUUUAUUUUAUCACAAAAUAGGGUAAUAGUAGCUUUACUACUAGGGCGGCUGAAAGGACAUUUUUUCUCCUUGCUUUUGACACAGCAGGUUGUCCUUUCACCUUUGGGACAGACCUUGAACAGUGUUUAGCACACAAAAUCAGUCUUUUGGACAGAUUUUUCGUGAACCAAAAUCUGUCCAAAAAGGAACACACACUGAUCACAUAUUUGUUGGACAGUCUUUGCACCCUAAAAAUAUAACUUGGAGAGUAAAAAAUCAGCAACUAAAGUACCAUUUAGUAAGUUGAAAUGGGGAGCUUUGUGAGUAAAUUUUAGAGUGCAAACUUUUAGAAAAGUAUAAGUCUUCUUUAGAGCUGGUUAUGGGUUUCUUCUAAGGUUUUCGGGCUAUUUAAAAACAAAAUUGCUGUUGUUUUCUGCCUGUGUUUGCUGCUGUUUUUGUUUUCCUGCUGAGCUCUAUUUCUUCAUUGCUGUAUUUAUUUUCUGCAAUCCAGGUAUUUUCUUAAACUUUACAAUGCAGAUUUUUAUAUUCAAUGGAUGAGGAUAUGACUCUUUUUCAGCUCUAUGGAUACGCUUGAUGUGCUUUACUGGAAUAAAUGAAUGUUUAGCAUGUUAUUCAUAUAGUCAUAUUUCAACAUGUACAUCUGUAAUAUUUGGUUGAUCCUCCAUUUUUCUAUACAUGUGUAGCUCAAAUAACAUUAUGUUAAGUGUAUCUAGUUAAGGAAAAAAAUAUCUUUUAUAAUUAUUAUGUAGAGUUUAGUUUCCUUUGCCUUGGUUUUAUGUAUUUUGUGGUUUUGUUAUUUUAAUUUUUCUCUUAGUGCUAAAAAUAACUGAUAGUAAUACUUCUCUUCUUGGUUAAGUUGAAAUGAAGUUGGGGAAUAGUAUGUGAUGAGUGUGCGGAGAG